ACCUGAAUGAUCUCUCAACUACCGCGGCGUUCAGCACAGUGCCAUAAUUAUAAUUAAAGAGGAGAAAUCUGGCCAAUUAUAAGAAUCAAUAUCACGCCAUCGUAGAACCGGCCCUCUUUCAAGAAGGCUGACGCGCACUGAAAAUGUUUUAGGGUUGAUUCUUCUUUUUCAGGGACCCUCAAAACCCCCUCGGAAUUCGAUUCUGCAUGGAGAGAGAUGUCCAGGGAUGGUAAACAUGUGCUUGAGGGAUUUCUCUAGAAUUUGGUCAUAAACACCCUCAGAGAGUAAGAAACUCCCAGAGGUGAUGCCAGGAUGCUUUCUUCUUUCUGGGUGCCUUUCGCGUCAGGUUCGGCAGAGCCAAUGAAACGUGCUUCUCGCGGGCCACUUUCCUAUGAAUCAACCACAAGUAUCGAUGCAUUUCAGCACUGUGGCCGCGACGAGAUGGAUGUGUGGUCUCUGGGAAGAUGCGGGCCGUGUGUUUCAACUUAAGGAUGAUAUAGGAUGGGGGAGAAAUAAGUGCAUAAGGACGUAAUAAAUUGUGAGGGUAAAUGGAAAGGCCACAGGCAGAGCAAAUAUAAAUAAAACUCCCCCAUAAAGGGUGAGCGGGACAUUAACAGUUAUUAUUCUUUUUUAAAAAUCCCUCCCCCCGCCAACUCCAGUGGUUAUGACUUGGCUCUCAUCGCUAGUGAGUGUGGUGAGUGUGGGAAGGAAUCAUGAACGAUUAUUCCUUUACGAGAUAUUUCAGCCUCCGAUUUUGCUCUUUCUCCCUCCCUCUCGUGGCUCCCGUGAAAUAUGGGGUCCCGAUGGAUUCAUUGCUUUGUGCACUGAAGGUCUUCCUGUGAGCUGCUCUUCAUUAUCGGUGCUACUUCCUGGAUGAUUUAUGGAGGUUCGUUUCUCAGGUCCUUUAUCAGUCGCGUUUCUGAUUUUCAGCCCAUUAAGCUCUGACUUCUCCAAAGCGACUUAGCUUCCGUUCCUUCGCCUGGUUGCCUCUGUGGUGCCUGUUUUAAAAGUCGUGCCUCGAAAAUCUUGUCAUUUGGAAUAAUGAAAUUCAAGGGUAGGCUUCUCUGCUCAUAGACCUCUUCGGUUCUUCUCCCUGCAGGAUCGGUGAAAUACCGUUCUAUCCUACGCUUCCAGGCUCUCGGUGUGCGGCCCGAUGUAGGUGCUCGAGAAACUCCGACGAAUGGCAUCGUUAAAGUCUUCGUAGUCGUCGCUGGUUGGAGGUUGUCCUCUGCUCACUUGGAGCUUGAUGGGAUGGAAUAGUUUAAGGUUCCCGUUUUCCUGCCUGGAGGGGCCCCAAAAAUCUACUGCCUCCUCUCCCCACUUCUAAUCUCACGUCAUCAUCAUCACCAAGGUGUACUGAAGGCCUAUUAGUUGGACAGUAUGAGCGUACUGUACUGAAUGCCUAUUGUGUACUCAGCCCCUGCCGCUUGCUUGCCGUGGGAUCUUGGCCUAGGAAAGGAGAACAGAAGCCCGGGAAGCUUGCUGAUGGCGUCAACCAGAUGGAAUUUAAAUCUUCGCGUUUUCGGCAGCCAUUCCUCUUGUGACCUUCGGAUUUGGCCUGGCUCGGCGUGGUUCAAGAACGGGGAACGACAAAUGACGCAGCCCAUUCCCAAUUUACUGUUGUCACGUGGGGUUGAAGGUCAGCUCUGAGUUCAUGCCUGACGAAGCCCCCGGAAGCGUCAAACUGGGUCUCAGCGACAACUCCGGGGACUUCGAAGGAGCCAAAAUCCAGCCAGGGAGGAAAACAAACAAGUCUGAAUUUCCUUACCCCAUCAUCGUGUCGGAGAAGAGGUCCCCGUUCCUAUCUGGCUGCCCCCUGACUGGUUGGUGAAGUCCUGCUGUGGGCCACGGUGGGAGGUGACCUCCGAUGAGUUUACUGGAGAGAGAUGCCGAGGAAGCAGACGGUACAGUGCUCUGCCUGCAGGAUAGGCGCGGGACAGUGCUCUGCAUUCACUAAGAACUCGAGGAAAAGAACCCCAGUUGACCGAGAGACACGACAGCUCACCCUUCCGGGCUUCGUACUCCGAAUCGCUUGGAUUUACGAGUCCUGUGGGCAAACACCCCAGGCCGGCAAAAGCCCAUUUUAACGCUACGGGCCGGCAAGGUACCUGAUCGACGUGCGAAAUAACGGACAUCACAGAAGGCGGCGGCUGACGCAGAGCCCUUAGAAGGGUCCCGGCUUGUUGCUCAGCCACCCGCUGCAGGCCUGGCUGGAUGUCACUAACACCCCCGCUGUUUGGAUUCCUGAGAUCUUAGGGGGUGUCACGGGAAGACUAGCCGUGGCCCAUGGUGGCUACCAAAGGCCAUCGCCUGCUGGAUUACGGCCCUGCAGCGCAGGUUUGGCACCCCGUUCUGGUCUCGUCAGCCAAUAAAUGCGUCCUGCACGCCAAUAACCACUGGCCACGCGCUCGGCCCCUGCCCACCUCUUGGCUCGUGGUGCUCCGUACCCCGGCGGGAAUACCGCUGGCAGAGACUGAGGAGCGAUAGCAGUGCUGGGCACAAUCGUCAGCUCCUCCACAAGAGUUCUCAGUCGUGAAGGCUCCGGACUGAGUCUCCUCCGUCAUUCUCGAUGAAGCUUGUCCCCCUCCUCCUCCUCCCCGCCCCCAACGACAGUAAGACCCCGAGAGCUCUGGAAGCCAACCGAAGCAUGCUCGGAAGUGGACCUCACGGGCCAGAGGCCCCAAGGUGCCGCCACCCAGCAAGUGGUCGAAAGAAGCGGGCCUGUGGUUUCUUUCCACGCAUCCCAUAUAUGAGUCGCCCCUCUUCCCCAAAACGUAACGGUUUCAGGCAUUCUCUUCACGAACGAAGCUGACGCUUCUACCUCAUCCAGGGCUUUCCUGGCAUACGCCAUUACUCUCUCUUGCUCUUUUCGGCACUUGGAAAACACAGUGAGCCACGAUGAAUCAGUACGCGAGGUAUUUCCCGGACCAGCCGUAGGCCUGAAUGUCCGCGAGGUAGGAGUUAUGCGUUAAUGCUGGAUCGGUUAUCCAUUUCUCCUGAGCCGACGUGGGCUUUAUUUUUACUUUCUCGGAGAUCUGUCAUGUGCUUUAUUGCUAUAUGGGCCUAGAUCCAGAUCUUUAUUUGCUUUCUGGAUAUAUAUUUUCUCUCUCUCUCUCUGUGUUUCUAAUAUUCAUUCUGCUACUGUCUCUAAUAAUAGUGAUGAUAGUAAUAAGAAGAAGAACAGCGGGUCAAGCACC